rnacentral:rRNA from 1 species
UACGGAGGAUGCAAGCGUUAUCCGGAAUUACUGGGCGUAAAGGGUGCGCAGGCGGUUGGGUGUGUCAGAUGUGAAAUCCCGAGGCUCAACCUCGGAACUGCGUCUGAAACUACUCGACUAGAGUACUGGAGAGGGUAACGGAAUUCACGGUGUAGCAGUGAAAUGCGUAGAUAUCGUGAGGAACACCAGAGGCGAAGGCGGUUACCUGGACAGUUACUGACGCUCAGGCACGAAAGCAUGGGGAGCAAAAGGG